GGCUCGUUGGUCUAGGGGUAUGAUUUCCGCUUAGGGGGAGGUCCCGGGUUCAAAUCCCGGACGAGCCCAAG
rnacentral:tRNA from 1 species